UACGUAGGGUGCAAGCGUUAAUCGGAAUUACUGGGCGUAAAGCGUGCGCAGGCGGUGAUGUAAGACAGAUGUGAAAUCCCCGGGCUCAACCUGGGAACUGCAUUUGCGACUGCAUCGCUGGAGUGCGGCAGAGGGGGAUGGAAUUCCGCGUGUAGCAGUGAAAUGCGUAGAUAUGCGGAGGAACACCGAUGGCGAAGGCAAUCCCCUGGGCCUGCACUGACGCUCAUGCACGAAAGCGUGGGGAGCAAACGGG
rnacentral:rRNA from 1 species